rnacentral:rRNA from 1 species
GGCAGCAUGGUCUUAGCUUGCUAAGGCUGAUGGCGACCGGCGCACGGGUGAGUAACACGUAUCCAACCUGCCGUCUACUCUUGGCCAGCCUUCUGAAAGGAAGAUUAAUCCAGGAUGGCAUCAUGAGUUCACAUGUCCGCAUGAUUAAAGGUAUUUUCCGGUAGACGAUGGGGAUGCGUUCCAUUAGAUAGUAGGCGGGGUAACGGCCCACCUAGUCAACGAUGGAUAGGGGUUCUGAGAGGAAGGUCCCCCACAUUGGAACUGAGACACGGUCCAAACUCCUACGGGAGGCAGCAGUGAGGAAUAUUGGUCAAUGGGCGAUGGCCUGAACCAGCCAAGUAGCGUGAAGGAUGACUGCCCUAUGGGUUGUAAACUUCUUUUAUAAAGGAAUAAAGUCGGGUAUGCAUACCCGUUUGCAUGUACUUUAUGAAUAAGGAUCGGCUAACUCCGUGCCAGCAGCCGCGGUAAUACGGAGGAUCCGAGCGUUAUCCGGAUUUAUUGGGUUUAAAGGGAGCGUAGAUGGAUGUUUAAGUCAGUUGUGAAAGUUUGCGGCUCAACCGUAAAAUUGCAGUUGAUACUGGAUGUCUUGAGUGCAGUUGAGGCAGGCGGAAUUCGUGGUGUAGCGGUGAAAUGCUUAGAUAUCACGAAGAACUCCGAUUGCGAAGG